rnacentral:rRNA from 1 species
CGUAAUAGCUCACUGGUCGAGUGAUUCUGCGCCGAAAAUUUAACGGGGCUAAACUAUACACCGAAGCUUAGGAUACCGCAAGGUAUGGUAGGAGAGCGUUCUGUACGGAGUGAAGUCGUAGCGAAAGCGGCGGUGGACUGUACAGAAGUGAGAAUGCCGGAAUAAGUAGCGAGAAUUAAGUGAGAAUCUUAAUGGCCGAAAGUCUAAGGUUUUUGGAGGAAGGUUCGUCCGCUCCAAGUAAGUCGGGAGCUAAGGUCAGGCCGAAAGGCGUAGCCGAUGCACAAACGGUUGAUAUUCCGUUACCGUCUACAAUUUAAACAAAGGGACACAUACAAAGCGUUUAACCCGGGCGAUGGUUGACCCGGGCGCAAGGGACUGAAAUUAGAGUAGGGAAGUAAAUGUGGCGUAUGGCGAGAAAAGCUUUGUGUAUAGAAGUAGACGCCCGUACCGCAAACCGACACAGGUGGACAGGAAGAGAAUUCUAAGGCCAGCGGGAGAAGGGUAGUUAAGGAACUCGGCAAAUUGACUCCGUAACUUCGGAAUAAGGAGUGCUCGAAAGAGCCGCAGAGAAUAGGCCCAGGCGACUGUUUAGCAAAAACACAGGUCUCUGCCAAAUCGAAAGAUGAAGUAUAGGGGCUGACACCUGCCCGGUGCCGGAAGGUUAAGAGGAGGAGUGCAAGCUCCGAAUUGAAGCCCCGGUAAACGGCGGCCGUAACUAUAACGGUCCUAAGGUAGCGAAAUUCCUUGUCGGGUAAGUUCCGACCCGCACGAAUGGUGUAACGAUCUGGGCACUGUCUCAACUACCCACCCGGCGAAAUUGUAGUACCGGUGAAGAUGCCGGUUACCUGCGGCAAGACGGAAAGACCCCAUGGAGCUUUACUGUAGCCUGAUAUUGGGUUUCGGAAAUCUAUGUACAGGAUAGGCGGGAGACUAGGAAGUAUGAGCGUCAGCUUAUACGGAGUCGUUGUUGGGAUACCGCCCUUAGGUUUCUGGAAUUCUAACCUGCGACCGUGAAUCCGGUCGGGGGACAUUGUCAGGUGGGCAGUUUGACUGGGGCGGUCGCCUCCGAAAAGGUAACGGAGGCGCUCAAAGGUUGGCUCAGCACGGACGGAAACCGUGCCUCUGAGUGUAAACGCAAAAGCCAGCCUAACUGCGAGGAUGACGGUCCGAGCAGUAACGAAAGUUGGAGUUAGUGAUCCGGCGGUAUGUGAAUGGAAAUGCCGUCGCUCAACGGAUAAAAGCUACCCUGGGGAUAACAGGCUGAUCUCCCCCAAGAGUCCACAUCGACGGGGAGGUUUGGCACCUCGAUGUCGGCUCAUCACAUCCUGGGGCUGUAUUCGGUCCCAAGGGUUCGGCUGUUCGCCGAUUAAAGUGGUACGCGAGCUGGGUUCAGAACGUCGCGAGACAGUUCGGUCCCUAUCUGUCGUGGGCGCAGGAUAUUUGAGGAGCUCUGUCCUUAGUACGAGAGGACCGGGAUGGACGUACCUCUGGUGCACCAGUUGUCAUGCCAAUGGCACGGCUGGGCAGCUACGUACGGAACGGAUAAACGCUGAAAGCAUCUAAGCGUGAAGCCGACUCCAAGAUUAGAUAUCCCAUUGCAUAAGCAAGUAAGACCCCUUGAGGACUACGAGGUUGAUAGGCUGCGUGUGUAAGUGUCGUGAGGCAUUUAGCUUGGCAGUACUAAUAGGUCGAGGGCUUGACCA